ACUCACGCUUGCACUGCGAGUACAGUCAGCCAUUGACUCAGCUGCCCAGCCCUGGAAUGUGAGCUCUGGGACUUAUCCUUCUCACAUGAAAAUGUUUCUGGCAUUUCUUUUUUUUUUUUUUUUUGUCAUAGCAAUGAGAAAAGUAACAAAGACAGCGGCCGUUGCGGAUGAAUAUAGAUAACUAUUUCCAUUGGGUUCCAGAACCUCACUCCCACCAACGGAGAAGUGCCCAGCGGUUUCUUGGCUGUACUCUCAGAUACUUACUGUCCUCAGCUUGUCAGCUUUUCCUGAGAGUCAGAGACCACAAGGAACAGCGAGUUAUAGAACAUCCUUUCACCUGCUAGAUUUCCAAGUGAGGCAGAGGCCUUGUUAGCCCACGUGAUUCCACAACAACCGCUCCGUGUGGGAAAGCUCCUGAAGUGCUUUCUGUAAAGUCAUGGAGUUCUGUUUAGCCUUGCUGAUGAGGACCCAGACUUCAGGGGAGUGCGCACUUUCAGAAAUAACUGGAAUGUUGCCUGAGUCCUUCUGGUGAGAAUCGGGGGAGCAGAACCCUGCGUGCCGGUUAUAGAAUUUUCAUGUUGACAUUGUAGGAGUUCUUCUUUAAGCCACUUCCAGAAUGUUCCUGCCAUCCAUUGACAUUUUCCUGUCUGUCCAUCUGUCCGUCUGUGUAAUGAAAAGACUCCUAUAACCUAAGCUGACUUUGAACUCAGUGUGCAUCUGAGGACGACCCUGAAGUUUCUGAACCUUCUGCCUCUGUCUGCCAGAUACUAUUGCACUUUUCAGAACGUCAUAUAAUCGGAACCAUACAGUCUGCGACCUUUCUUAGUUGGCUGUGUUUGCUCAGAAAAACACAUUUGUGUUUCCUCCGUGUCUUUUUGUGGCUUGGUAGUACAGUUUUAGGAUCAACGAAUUUUACCAUUAGUUAUUAGAAACUGGAAGCCAGAUACUUCUGUCGAUGCUGUGAUCAAGCACCUCACUGAAGGACGUAUUUCUUCCGUUGCUUAGUCUCAGAGGCAGUGGUCCAUCAUGGCAGAGGAGGCCUGGUCUAUGCAGUCUCUGCCAUAGUAAACAGGAAACAGUGAGGCAGAAAGGAGUCAACAGGGCCAACCCGCCCAUCCUCCUGUCCUUGGAGGUCCAUCUCCUCCAGGGAGAUGCCAUCUUCUACAAUUUCCAGAGCUUCCCAAAUGGAGAGGCAGGCAUUUCAUAGAGCAGACUCUGGGGAGACUGCAGCUGUAAGCCAUAGCAGGAUGCAUGGCUCUGAUAGGUUCUGGGAAGGCCCAGAAACAAGAAUGACUUUGUUUGCGUGGAAAUCACAUGAAGAUGCUGGAAGGGGAGGAUUGAUCAGGGGCAGUGAUGUGCAGAGGGGAGGAAAGGAGAGCAGGAGGUCCCCACAGCCCUGGACAGAAGGUACGAAGGAAAAUUUACAUCACUGCAGAAGUUACACAUCACAGGGGAGUGUGAAAAAUGGUGGACGGCCCAGGGAGGAUUUAUUUUGGUUUAGUGCUUUUCAUUGACUACCUGAUACCAGUGUCGUUUUAAAGUUGUGUCUUCUGUACUUGAAACAAAGUUAAUUCCUGUACCCUUAACGACCCCAGUUUAGCUACACAAUGAGGAUGGUGGCAUUUUACAGUGGGAAGGAACCUUCACGAUAACAGCGUAACUCAUAUACUGUACAGAUAAUAAAAAUGUUUUUCCAGCA
rnacentral:lncRNA from 1 species